rnacentral:rRNA from 1 species
UUCCGGUUGAUCCCGCCAGACCUGACUGCUAUCGGAUUGAUACUAAGCCAUGCGAGUCUUUGCAGUAAUGCAAGGCGGACUGCUCAGUAACACGUAGUCAACUUAACCUAUGGAUGGGUAUAACCUCGGGAAACUGAGAAUAAUUCCCAAUAGAUCAUUUAUCCUGGAAUGGUUAGUGAUUGAAAUGAUUCGUCGCCAUAGGAUAGGACUGCGGCCUAUCAGCUUGUUGGUGAGGUAAAGGCCCACCAAGGCUAUUACAGGUACGGGCUCUGAGAGGAGAAGCCCGGAGAUGGGUACUGAGACACGGACCCAGGCCCUAUGGGGCGCAGCAGGCGAGAAAACUUUGCAAUGUGCGAAAGCACGACAAGGUAAUCCGAGUGAUUUCUGCUAAAGAAAUCUUUUGCCAGUUCUAAAAAUACUGGUGAAUAAGGGGUGGGCAAGUUCUGGUGCCAGCAGCCGCGGUAAU